GGAGUUAGUCGAGUGGUCGCGCAAAUUUUUAUUUGCGAGGAAAGUCCGAGCUCCAAGGGCAGGAUGCUGGGUAACACCCAGUGGGAUUGGUUGAAAAACUAAUCUUAGCGAUAGUGCCACAGAAAAUAUACCGCCAGAAAUAUACUUAUAAUUUUAUAAGUUCUGGUAAGGGUGAAAAGGCGAGGUAAGAGCUCACCAGCAGUCUGGUGACAGACUGGCUUGGUAAACCGCAUCCGGAGCAAGGCCAAAUAGGGAAGAUAUAAGGUAGUCCUCCUUUCUUCCGGGUGAGGCUGCUAGAGGCAAUUAGUAAUAUUUGUCCUAGAUAGAUGACCACUGCUGCUUAUAUUUUAAUAUAGGUAGUACAGAACUCGGCUUACAGGCUAACUCCAACU
rnacentral:RNase_P_RNA from 1 species